ACCUCGUCCUGGCGAACGACCCGGACGCCGACCGGUGCGCGGUCGGCACGCCGCUGCCCGGCGGCGGCUACCGGAUGCUGACCGGCGACGAGGUG
rnacentral:tRNA from 1 species